AGCAAAUUAUUAUCCUACGCAGAGGUGACGUCUGUUGUUUGCCGAUCCAUGUUUAUAGGGAUUCUGGCCAUUAUUCUAACGGCGACUCCUCUUAUGGCCAUCAUAACUUUGCUUACGUAUGUAGGACAGCUUGUGGAGGGGGAGACGACGUCCGACCACGACGACGGGAUACACACGAAAACGUCAUACGACGACGACGAGAUAUGUAGCCGGCGAUGAAGACGACUGCGAGAUACGUAGCCGGCGACGAAGAUGACAACGAGAUAUCAUAGCCGGUGACGAAGACGACGGGCGAGAUACGUAGCCGGCAACGGAGACAAUGGAAUACCUUAUUCAUCUCAUUAUCCCAAACCAGAUGGAAAAAGGCUUCGUGCGGCACAUGACCGGCGGCGGAAUGACGACGAAAAUGAGAUUUGACGGCAGCCGGCGGACUGACAUCCUAACUCAACGUGUGCUGAUGCGUGCAUGCAGUUUUUUCCAGUGUAUUUUUCAAGAAAUCUGAACGCACAACAAGUUGAUGCUUCAGUGAAUUAGCUAUUUUGAUGACAAGGUGCAUCCCGUGAUUGGUGUUCCAUUUUCUAAUGGUCAUGUACACAUUAUGGAGACGUAGAAGCAAACUGCAUAGGCCUGCUCCAUCCAUUUUCUUUGCAAAUGUAUUCAUGUGUACUAAUUAAGAUGAAACUUUAUCUAGGAAGUAUAUAUUUGAUUUUUUAUUGCA